GAAAUGCGAUAAGUAAUGCGAAUUGCAGAAUUUCCGUGAGUCAUCGAAUCUUUGAACGCACAUUGCGCCCAUUGGUAUUCCGAUGGGCAUGCCUGUUCGAGCGUCAUUAUCCCCCCUCAAACCCUUGGGUUUGGUGUUGGACCCGAGUUGUUCUCCGUUUCGGUUGAACAACUGGUCUCAAAGACAAUGACGGCGUCCGUGGGACCCUCGGUGCAACGAGCUUCUAAGGAGCACGCGUCGAGUUUCAAGGACCUUCCGGGCCGGUCUUCCUAGCAAAACUGCUCUCUAAGGUUGACCUCGGAUCAGGUAGGAAUACCCGCUGAACUUAA
rnacentral:misc_RNA from 1 species